UUUAGAAUAAGUUAAGUAAACUUUUGAAUUUUUACUUCAAAAUUGAAUAUAAAUUCUUUUAAAU
rnacentral:tRNA from 1 species